ACAGAGAAGAGAAUUGCCGCUGAAAGCACACCAGCUCAUGUGUGAUUGAUUUCAUUGAAACAGGUACGAGAAUAGCUGUUAUGUUACUUGUUUUGUUCUGUAAUUAGUUUUCUGGAUGCUUUUUGUUUAUUCUGUCGCUAAAAUGUUACAUUUAUUUGAAGGUAUUUUCCUAAGGAUUAUAUUUGCAUUAAUAUUUAUUUGUUUUGAUUUAUUCUGAUCGAUAUGUUUUAUAAUUGCUUCUUUUGUAAGACAUUGGUUGUUUUCUUUUCAUAUUUUUGUACAAGUAUAUUUUAUAUGAGAGCUGUAAUCUGUAUGGCCAGAGAGAGAGGAGAGUUGCCGCUGAAAGCACACCAGCUCAUGUGUGAUUGAUUUCGUUCAAACAGACAUUAAAAGUGAUCCAGACCCGGCCCUGAACUUCAUUUUCUGUGACACAACGCAGAGAAGAAAAACCAAACCGGUCACAUCAGCUUACACAUCAAAGUCUGGGUGAAAACUGCGUCAGGAAAACACAAUGUAAGAUGGAGGAAGAAGACGGGGGAAAAGGAAGAGGAGGAGGAGGAGGGACUGGGAGGAGAAGAGGGGAAAGAUGGUCGUGGGCCAAUCCCUGCUCACUCUCUGUAACUUGGUUGAUUACGAUCAAUUUCCCUGGUAUCGAUGGCCUCCCUGGCCCUGAGCUACACUCCCUCCUGCACUUUGCAUGGUACGUGCUUUGUGUACCAUGACAUGGCUAGCACUCCACCACAUCUCCCCCAACCCCUGGCUCUACCACCUGCAAUCCUCUCAUCUUGGCCUUGAGAAAUAUCAACAGCUGGGUAACCGUGUUCUGGAGGAGGGGUAUAAGCAGGCAUUUGAAAAACACAAAAUGUUUCCACUUCAUGUUCUCAGACUCAGUUUCAAAUCUGAGCUAAUGCAGUUUUUUUUCUUUUUUUUUUCUUUUUUAACUGACUGGCUUGUGAGCCUGAUAGGUGUAAAAAGUUUGGGUGGUGUUACUGCAGCAGAAAAGAGAAAGGGGGAUUUUUUUUUCCUGCUCUGUCAGGGCUGCUGAAGGAUUGAGUGCUCGACGAAAAACUCGGAGAGACAAGGUGGAAAUGAUGAGAUGAAGUUUGGUCACGACGUGCUGGACCGAAAGCCCCAAAUCUGUAUUUGUUCUGGGGAAUGUGAAACUGUCCUCCCUCCGGCAUGUGCGAGGGCGCAUCCCGCUCAGUCUAUCUCUGCACACUUGGCACGCUCUAUCCGAAUUAAUUGCAUCUCUGCGAGGGAGAGAGUGAGAUGGAUAGAGAGAGAGGGAGAGAGGUUUAGUCCUUCUGUCGGGCUGGUCUUGCUACAAGGGGAGUCAUUUAAAAUUCUGCCUCCCAUGUGGCUCCUGGUUUUCACUUUAAUGACCCCCUCCUCUCCCCCUGUUUUUUUACCCCAUGACUUUCCUGGAUUUGGAGCUCCAAGCUCAGUGUCCUAUGGCUGCAUGGCGCUUGUGCACAUCUUAUUUAUGCAAUUAUACAAAUUAUGCUGUUGUUGUUGACUGACAUCAAGGCCAUUUCUGCCAAAUUACACUUUGCACCUUUGUCUUUCCGUCUUUGCCUCUUUCUUGGCUUCUCUUUGUCGCAAGAUAAAAACACCAUCCUCGACAGUCAACCAUUGCUGCCAUCUUUUCUCUGGGAAACCUCUGCUUACACUUGUUGUCAAGCUGAGCAACCUCUGAAUUAAUCUUUGCAUCAGACUGUCUUGAACGAGAAGUAAUGCUUUGUAUUGGAAAAAGACUGGAAUAUUUCCUUCACAGUGUGAAAACACAUGUCAACCAGCUAAUGAAUCAUCAAAUCGGGAUCACAGCAAAUAUACUGACCUUUCUGAUGAUUUUCAAGGUUCAACUCUACAUAUGGAAGUGUCUGGGUGUGUGUUUGUGUGUAGCAGAAGCAGCUGAAGGCCCUGAGAGCGUUAACUGCCGUAGUGUUUACUGGCGCUACUGUGAGGCUUCGUAGGAGACACGAUAGGAAAUGGCCUCAAUAAGAUAAAGCUGAGCUUUCUGCAUGGUUCUCUGCAGGGGUCUCUGCCUCUCACUCACACACACACACACACACACACACACACACACACACACACACACACACACACAAACACACACACACACACGUAUAUAUAUCUCUACGUGUGAGGUGGGGGUAGAGUGGUGUGGGCUGUAGGACAGCGACUGCCCACAAGGUCAGAGUAGGCAGUGUAUAUGGUUGUUUUUCUCUGUUUUUUUCUCUCUCUCAGCGGUGGAGCUGUGUGCUGCCUCCCCGGGUCUCUCCUCUAUCUGGUCAAUACCACCACGCAGCUUCUGACGAUCAAUGGAGGGUCAAUACCUCUCAGACGCCUGCCUCUUUGUGCUCUCACUGAUUUAGCUACCACCUACCCAGGCCAUCUUUUUUUUUUUUUUUUUUUUUUACUUUUUCUUUUUCACUCCCUGUUUUUUAUGACCCUAGCUCUCACUUAAAUACAUAAACCUCCUGAAACUGAAGAGACACUGCAGUAAAUCUGAGUGGCAGAGCGCAUGUUUUCUGCCAAAUGGCAUAAACCUUAGCCCCUAAUAAGGCAUGCACAUAACUGUGGUGGCCUUUGUCUGCAGAAAUGUCUUUUAAUCUUUUAGUGAGCUGAAAGAAAAACACAAAAUCCAGUCAUAUGAGAAGAACUAUCAUUCACACUAUCAUUUUGAAUUCCAUCUCAACAUCAACAAUCAGCUUAACACUAUGUUAUAAAAGAUGUGUUUAUUACAAGUAUUACUUCUCCACAUUCAGGCUGACUACAUAUUGGUCUGAUUCACCUGUAGGUGGGGCGAUGUUAAGUUUAAAAAGUUCAAGCUCUGAAAAGCUCAAAAUGGAGCUUACGGCAGUUCAUACAGGACACCCAGUCAUGCAUGCUAUCAGCUGACCCAUGAGCAGGCAAGUUACAAUCAGACUGACAAUAAGUCGGUCUGUUUAAGCCGAAGUGGCCCACAGUCUUUCCUGCAGCACCUUCACACUGUUGCUGCUGAGGAGGAUCGGUUUAUGUGAAGCUUUCCUGCACCAUUCCUCCCUCUAUCUGCACUGGUUCUAAUGUUUAAUGCUCAAAAAUAAUCGUAUUUUAAUACACGGUGGUAUUCAGUGAAUCUUGGACGACUUUUGUUUGUAGCAUGUUACCAGGUAACUCUUAUUCUGUAUAAUCUGUGAAGGUUUCGAGAACCUUGCCAUUUCUUUAGCAAUGGCAAUAAAUGUGUAAAUUCUGUAUUAUUUCAUUUAAAAAUAGAGAGGCCCUUCACAGCAUUAUUGAUAAUUUUGUGGACCCUUACUCUGAAUAUAAAAAAUAAAAAUUGAAUUUAUAAAAUCUCUGUAUUUGAAUAAAGAGCUGCUAAACUGUU